rnacentral:misc_RNA from 1 species
GAUGAAGAACGUAGCGAAAUGCGAUACGUAGUGUGAAUUGCAGAAUUCAGUGAAUCAUCGAAUCUUUGAACGCACAUUGCGCCCGCCAGUAUUCUGGCGGGCAUGCCUGUUCGAGCGUCAUUUCAACCCUCAAGACCCCUUCGGGGGACUUGGUGUUGGGGACCGGCACAGGGGCCUGCCUGCUUGUCUUGCAGCGCCCUCGCCGCCCCCGAAAUGAAUUGGCGGCCUCGUCGCGGCCUCCCCUGCGUAGUAGCACAAACCUCGCAACGGGAACGUGACGGCGGCCACUGCCGUAAAACAACCCAAUUUUAUUAGAGUUGACCUCGAAUCAGGUAGGAAUACCCGCUGAACUUAAGCAUAUCAAUAAGCGGAGGA